UGUAAAAAAAUUCAUCUAUUUCUAUCGUUAAAAUUAGUGUAGCUAAUAGAAUAACUAGAAAGUUGCACAUGACGUGCCACGUGUACUUCAUGUUGACGUCCAUUGACCAAUUUUUAAUAAUAGAAAUUGAUUAAAUUUUUAACA
rfam:Gossypium hirsutum cultivar TM-1 unplaced genomic scaffold scaffold1451.1, whole genome shotgun sequence